GGUAUUCUUCAAAGAUGUUCCCUACAUCACCACCGUUCAUGGCUAUAAUCGCCACCAGAGCCGAAGCCCUUCCGCUCCAAUUUCGAUCCACCUCAGGCCAUCACCAUAGAAUAAACCACCAGCGUCUUCUCCUUCUCAGUCUUCGUCUGGUAGUUGACCUCCACCGACUCUUAGUUUGAUCGGAGAAGAAGGACGAAGUCUUCAGCAGGAGCUGUCGUCGAUUGUGAUGGAAGAAAGGGGUUGCUCCGGUAGCGGAUAGCGAAGGGUUUUUUAUUCGAUUAGGGUUCAGUAGGAAUCACCGUCCGACUUCGACUCCAGGGUAAAUGUCUCUUCGAUGAAAACCAAAAGUAUCCUUCCUCACCGUUAUUCCCCGUCACCGUAUCUCCCAGAUUAGUAGACUUCUGUUGGUGCACCGCCUAAUUAUACGACCAAAAAACCCCUCCUCCUUUCUAUCUUUCAAUUUCUGCACUUUGUGGUGGUAUAAUGUCGAUUACAACUCAUAGAAGUGCAAGCGAUUUGGUUGUAAAGAAAAAGAGAAGGAGACGUAGGAACUACACCCCUAAAAAACAGAGGGAUACCUCCUCAUACCUGAUCUUCCGGGUUUCGUAAGGUGGACGAUUUGAACGAAUCAAGGUUUUAUUCCAUUGUCGGCUCUAUUUCUUCCCUUCCGUUCUCACUCUAUUGUGACCUUAUAUAUCUUAUUAUGCCUUCCGAUUGACUCUAUGUUAUUGACUUCAAGCUUCGAAUUUCCAUUCAUCAUGUUUGAUAGUACAUCAUAAUGAGAGGUUGACCAGGAGGGUUGUAUUGGACUCUUUCAAUGUGAUUUCUAGAAAGGUUAUCUUUUUUUUUUUGUAUGUUUAUCUUCAUAUAACCUUGCUUUGAGUGUAUUAUUUGUUUUAAUGAAUCACUUCCAUAAGAAUUUCCAAUCAAUUGCCUUCUGGAACAAGCUUUUUAUUAAUGGAAAAUUUUGAACAAAAAAAUAAGGCAGGGGCAAAAUUGUCCCACGGAACCCAACAACAACUACGGGAAAAAGAGUACUAUGCCUUCAAAGAUGCAAGAGCCAAAGUGGACCCGAAAUAAAAGAAGAAUAAGUUGCUACUUUGAUAUUUAUCUGCACUGAUUAAAGAUAAUUUACCUAAUUGCCCUUGUACUAACUUUUUGCCACUUUUGUUUGUUGAAGGUGCUAGUACUAAAUGGGUAGCCUGUAGCGUUAAAAGAUGAAGGUAUUUCCAGAAAAAAUGAACUCUAAUUUCAUGAUUAUCCGACUCUCAAAGCUUUCUUCUUGUGGUGGCAGCUUAAAUAGCAGGUUAUUAAAGGAAAUUUCAGGCUUAACUGAAACCUUUUAACGUUGAAUUAAUUUUUUUCAUUGGAAAUCAUGGUUCGAUCACUCGAUUCUUUCAUGUUGCAAGGAGUUUGGCAACUAAUGAGUUGAUCUACUUCAAUAGGAUUUCACGUGCUACAUUACAAUGAGCUGAAAAUUUUAAAUGGCCGGUUGCUGAUACAUAUGAUAAGCAUACGCAAGGCAAAAGUCAGUUCUAAAGAGGAAAUAGUAAUGUAUAUUUUUUACUAUUAGACUGGAGGGAGUAGCUCGCUGGCCAAGCUCCCUAAGGGCGCCAAGUCCACUCCCUAAGAUGUGCUAAGCAAGUCGCCAGGUGAGGCCCGCUGCCUUAUUAGAAAAAGGAAAGAAAAAGUUGGGAAGAGAAUUAUGAAUUGUGAUUGGUCCUUUUUAUUUGUUUUUUCUUUUGUUCAAAUCAGAUGCCUUUUCAUUGGUUUUUUAGGCGGAAGGUAAAAAAGUGAUGUUAAUGCGUGGCUAUUAUAGACAUGUACCUAAAUAUUUUGGAGUUACAAUGCCUUAUCUUUAAUUUUAAAACACUUUGACAUUUGUUUAACCAA